GUGUUUCUUACGUUGUUAUUCUACUGUGUUCUUUAUGUUGUACUUCUACUGGAAUAUGCAUUUUAAAAGUCUUAGUUCCUUUUUGAGAUUUCUGAAAUUAUUUUUUUAGUAUUUCUGCCUGAUUUACUUGCUUUCAUCUCUAUACUCAAUUGACGGGAGAACCUUAAAUUUAGGGAUUCAUUUGAGUCUUGAGGCCAUUAGCUAUGCGAUUUGCUUGUACUUCAUCUCUGAACUUGUUUGAUUUCAAAACCUUAACCCCUUUGGACCUAUUUUGAGUUUCUACUUGAUUAGGCUUCAAAAGUCUUUGUUUCAACCUUUGUUUCUUUAUAUGGUUCUAAUUCCCUGCUAAAAUUUUCUAAGGUCCUUAUACUGGAGCCUUUGUAUGCCAUUUGAUACUAUCUCUCUCCUACAUUGCUAACCUGUGUGACUACCAUAGUUUACUACUUACUGAUUUUGCAAUUGCAUGACAUUUUCUUUGCCCUAAAUUCAUCCGAGCAUGCUUGUAUGCUCUUUAUAUGUGCUGAAUUCCCUCUAAAAUGGCUUUCAAAUUUUAAAUGAUUUCAGACUUCCUUCGUAAAAGCCUGAUUGAUUUCUUUACUCGUUUGCUGAUUUCUCUGUUAUUUGGUUUGAGUCGAAAACUUUCCUUAGCUUUUCUGACUUGGUUCAUUCAAGGAGCAAUAAUUACAAACCUCUGACUCCUUGAUUUACUGUAUACUAAUUGAUUCUUACAUUAUUUUAUUUUAACCGUGCAUUUCAAAACUCUUUCCCCUAAAUAAACUCCUAUAAUUGCCUGUUUUGCACAAGAUGCU
rnacentral:lncRNA from 1 species